rnacentral:rRNA from 1 species
AUUGAACGCUGGCGGCAGGCUUAACACAUGCAAGUCGAACGAGGGGCGGAAGGGUGAGUAAUGUCUGGGAAACUGCCUGAUGGAGGGGGAUAACUACUGGAAAAGGUAGCUAAUAACGCAUACCCUCCGAUGUGACCAGAUGGGAUUAGCUAGUUGGUGGGGUAACGGCGCACCAAGGCGACGAUCCCUAGCUGGUCUGAGAGGAUGACCAGCCACACUGGAACUGAGAUACGGUCCAGACUCCUACGGGAGGCAGCAGUGGGGAAUAUUGCACAAUGGGCGCAAGCCUGAUGCAGCCAUGCCGCGUGUGUGAAGAAGGCCUUCGGGUUGUAAAGUACUUUCAGCGGGGAGGCGUUACCCGCAGAAGAAGCACCGGCUAACUCCGUGCCAGCAGCCGCGGUAAUAC